GCCAGGUGUGGUGGCGUGUGCCUGUAGUCCCAGCUACUCAGGAGGCUGAGGUGGGAGAAUUACCUGAGCCUGGGGAGACUGAGGCUGCAGUGAGUGGUGAUUGCACCACUGCACUCCAGCCUGAGCAACAGAGUGAGAUCCUGUCUCAA
ensembl:misc_RNA Metazoa_SRP Metazoan signal recognition particle RNA